rnacentral:rRNA from 1 species
AAUGAACGUUGGCGGCGUGGAUUAGGCAUGCAAGUCGAACGGGCCGCAAGGCCAGUGGCGCAAGGGUGAGUAAGGCGACCGCAACCAACCCCGAGAUUGGGCAUAGCCGAGGGAAACUUCGGGUAAUUCCCAGCGACGUGCGUCGAAGGCAUCUUCGACCCACCAAAGCUCCGGCGUCUUGGGACGGGCGGUCGUGGUAUUAGGUAGUUGGCGGGGUAACGGCCCACCAAGCCUUCGAUGCCUACCGGGCGUGCGAGCGUGGCCCGGCACACUGGGACUGAGACACUGCCCAGACUCCUACGGGAGGCUGCAGUCGAGAAUCUUCGGCAAUGGGCGCAAGCCUGACCGAGCGACGCCGCGUGGAGGACGAAGGCCUUCGGGUUGUAAACUCCUGUCGAGGGGGAGGAAGCCGCAAGGUUGACCCAUCCCUGGAGGAAGGACGGGCUAAGUUCGUGCCAGCCGCCGCAGUAAUAC